rnacentral:lncRNA from 1 species
CAGGUGGUAGAGUUAUCAUUCGCAAUGACCUCUUUUUCCCCGGUCGAGACAUGGGUCAGGGCCCUCUGGCAAGAAAGUUGUGCUUCAUGAUCAAAUGUUUCACGCAGGACAUGGUCACUUAGACAAGUAAAUGCAUAACCCAAUAAAAAGCACCUCGCAGUAAUUUCCACUAGCACCAAUAGUAAAAGAAAAAAAGUUCACCGUCCGUAUGACUGCCUAUAUACACAACACUACAGUGUAGAGUAGAGGAAGAGGAAAGAACGAUGAAUGAUAGAGCCAGGAAGAAGCUGCAUGCCAUAGUGUGUUGGGAAUGAGAGGCAAAGGGGGAAGUAGAUGUCGAUCUUCAGGAAUCCAGAGUGAGGAACAUACUGAACUCAUUUCUUUCAUUGAAGGUGUGCCUGCGUUACAUGCUGUGCUAUUUCUCUUGUGCAAAACGUGGAUUGCGGUGGGUGAGAGAGCAGGUUUGUGUGUCCGAUCGAUUUAGCAGGCGAACUGUCUGAUGCAUCCCGAGUAGAGGUUCCUCCUCUGGCGCCUCCUAGAAGGUUCAGAUAUGGACUUUGGAUGGUAGAGGUGGAUUACGGAGGCUGCAAAAAUGGACUGGCAGGAGGCAGCUAGCGUUCAAGUUGGAAGGCAGGUUCAGUAUGAAUUAGGAAUUUGAGGGAGGGUGUAGAAGGAUGGGUGGCUUUUUCUGUAAGAACAGCUUGAAAGCCCCGCAGUAGUGCGAAUAUUAGAGCACCAUUUUGUGCACUAGUGAUUUUUUUUCUUUUGUUCCCCUCCCACGCAUUGCAAAACUUGAAUACUGUUGCUUUCAUCCACGUCAUGAAUCCAAAC